rnacentral:lncRNA from 1 species
GCCCCCUUUUAGGUUUGGUAGGGGUGUCGGGGCAGGGCCCCCGGCGAUCGCCGGCACGGCCGUUGAGGCCCGGCGGGGCCGGCGAAAGGGAGUACUAGAAAGUGCGCGCUAAUCCGAGAACAAACACACGCACGUUUUUUACCCAGGUUCGGGCCACCCGGAGGUGUAAAACCCUACGUCCUGCUUGUCUGAGUUGAUAUUGAUUUAGAAUCAGGAGUUUACAAGUUGCCAGGCAAGUUCCCGGCUUUCUCCCUCUGGCUAGGUACCUCCUACUACCCUUUUCUAGUGCUGGAAGCCGACUAUGAGCCGGUCACCCAGCUGCCUGCUAGAGCCAACUAAUCUUCUGCCUAGCCUUUUCACCCUACUCGGAACCGGACCAAAAAAAAGAAAAAAACCCUGACCGCUGGCAUGGGUCCUCCUUUUAUACUCAAGGGGAUGCCACAGGUGCCACGGUGCAUGGGCUACAAGUGUCAGGCGAGGAGGCAUACAACUCCCCCCGGUGAGCUGGUGGCACUCAUGGACGCUACCUCUGCCGCUAGGGGUCUAAAAACCCUAGAGUAGGAUCGGACAGCCACUGUUCCUUUGAUCGGACGGGUAACAACCCGCCGGUCGGCUCAUUUACUGAGCCGUGCGCUUUACUCCUUGCCCUGGUGGGACCGCGCAUCCCACGCCCGCCACGUGUCCUCGUGGCGCUGUUGAUCUGGCCACUGGACCCCGCGCCUGAGGCGGGGGCAUGCGCCCGAGAACCCCCUGCCCCGAAAAGUCGAUCCCGGGAAGCACCCGGGCCCAACACACCCGGGAACCUCCCCCGGGAAGCCGAUUCAGUCCCGGGAGGUGCCCAGGUGGGAAUGUUCCCCGA